rnacentral:rRNA from 1 species
AUUGAACGCUGGCGGCAGGCCUAACACAUGCAAGUCGAGCGGAGCGGCGGACGGGUGAGUAAUGCCUAGGAAUCUGCCUGGUAGUGAGGGAUCAAGUCCGGAAACGGGCGCUAAUACCGCAUACUAUCAGAUGAGCCUAGGUCGGAUUAGCUAGUUGGUGGGGUAAUGGCUCACCAAGGCGACGAUCCGUAACUGGGCUGAGAGGAUGAUCAGUCACACUGGAACUGAGACACGGCCCAGACUCCUACGGGAGGCAGCAGUGGGGAAUAUUGGACAAUGGGCGAAAGCCUGAUCCAGCCAUGCCGCGUGUGUGAAGAAGGUCUUCGGAUUGUAAAGCACUUUAAGUUGGGAGGCGUUACCCGCAGAAGAAGCACCGGCUAACUCCGUGCCAGCAGCCGCGGUAAUAC